rnacentral:lncRNA from 1 species
GCUGGUAUGCCUCAGGUUAUUUGGAUGAACAUGGCAGACACGCUUAAGGAAGCUUGAGCUGCUUCUGCUUCAUCUGCAGAAAGAAAAGCAGUCUUAUCUCCUUUAGAGAACAAGUGUAGGCAGCACUUCUGUGGAGCACUACAAGGCUGCAGAGCCAGUAAAACUCACUGAUGUCCCAGAACAUCAGCUCUGUAACAUGGAGUGAGACUUCUUCCGCUUGACUGCAAGAAAAAUAAGUCAGCCUCCAGUCUUCCUCCUAUCUCCAAACCAAAGCUUCUGCAAAAAUGCCAGUUGAAGGCACCUCUGGAAACCCCCUCAAAGCAGAAUUACUGCCAGCCAUGGCCUUGUCUGGCCAAAGUCUUAAC